AACCCGUAUUUUUAAGCUUGUUUUAAAUUAAGUAAUUGUGUUUAUUAAUUUAACUAAGCCUUAUAUCAAUAAGAGAUCAUUUGAAAAUUAUAUUAUGAUAUUCUUAUUUGUGUUGUGGAAAUUUUUGAAAUUAGAAAUGGUUUGGAAAUUUGAUAAUCAAAUUCCGGAUUUUUUUUUAAAAGAAAAGAAAAGAAAUUCUUUUCGUGGCAUAUGUGGGAAAGUGCCACAUUUCUUCAAUGUUGUCAAACUCUCAAUUCCCUUCAACAGAAUAAAAGAAAUCCCAAAACCCAAUUCAUUUUCUCUCUCUCACUCACUGUCCUCCUUCUUCCUCUGUUCUGUCCGUCGAAUUCAUAAAAGAUGCACUCAUUUUUUAGUCUUUGUUCCUUCAUUAAAGUUGUAGAUCUCUUCGAGAUAUUGAAUUUAGGCUCAAAAAUUUCUUUAAUCGGAGUUCGGAGCUAAGCGUUAUGCUCUCUGGAAGUUGUGGUUGUUGCUGCCAUUGUUGCAGCGUUUUUCUCUCUCCUCUUCUUCGUGGAUGUUGCUGCCACGAAUUUUGGCUGGUGGUGCUGCUGGUUGUCAGUAGGAUCAUGGUUGUUAAUAUGAAGUUGUUCAUCCCGUUUGCAAGAUGUUGAUUUUUAUUUUAAAAGCAAACCAAGUUUUGGUUUAAGGAGGUAUAAAUUAACUCUCAUCUCUCCUUCUAUGUUUUUGUUCCAAGAAUUCAUGUUGUGGUGUAAAUUGGUUUAUUUUGUGAUAAUGUUUUAGUAAUUAGUUCAAUUCUGAAUUUUUGUCUUUGGUUAGCAAAAUCAAGUUCUAAAGAUAAAAAUUGAAUCUUUACUCACCGGUUAGUACAUUGAGAUGUGUUUUACAGCUUUAAAAUCAAAAUCUAGAUUUUUGGUUUAGUUAGUUUACAAAAACAGAUUUUAAGAGGAAGUCAUGUUCCUAGGAAUUGAGUUAGUUAGAGCUAUUAUAUAAGAUAGAUGAUGUGAAUUAGAUUUGUGGCAUGGGUUGUAUAUAUGGGUUAUAGUAGUUCAGGGAAGAGUUUUUUUAAAAAAAUAAUAUGAGUGAUUGAGUUUGUUGUUGAUAUGAAUUGUUGUGAGAAUGGUUAAUGAUUGUAAUUGUUGUUUUGAGGUCGGUCGUGAAAUAUGGCUAUGGAAAUAAUUUGCGGAGUUUGAGCUAUGGUUGGUGAUGAAUUGUCGAAAUAUUGGAGGUUUGUCAAUAGAGGAUUGGAUCGGUUUGAGGUGUAUGUUUGGAUUUUUGGAUGAAUCAAGAGGAAGAGUUUUUAGUUAAGAGAUGGAAAUUAAAUUAGAGAUUCGAAGUUAUAUUUAGAAUAUAAUUGUUGAAUAUUAAGUUCUCAUUUGAUAUUAAGUAUUGUAUUGUUUUGGGAUUUCGAGUAAAGUAUUAU